CGCCGUCCCACAGCUCCUCCCUCCCUUGCUCCACACCGCGCCGCCCUCUCCCCUGCUCCCUAUUGCCGGAUCGGGGCCGGACGGCGGCGCGGCUCCUCCCUCCUCCUCCCCCAUCCUCCGAGCUCGGCGCGCCUCAAGCUCGGCAGGGCGGAGGCGGCACGACGGCGUGGUGGACGGAGUGGCACGGCGGCCCAUCUCCUCCUCUCUCCUGGCGGCGGCGGCGGACCAUCUCAUCCCCGGCUCGCUUCCACCGGGACGGCCUGCGCGCGGCGUGGCGGACCGGGGCGGCCGGCGCGCGCCGUGACGGACCGGAGUGGCCGCGACGAGGCGGCCUGCGCGCGGCGCGGCCCCGUGGUGGUGGCUGAGGGCGGACCGCGGCGAGGGUGCUGGCGCGAGGGCAAGCCCGGCUCACAGCGGAGGCUUGCGAGGGCGGUCAGGAAGCCAGAUCCUGCCCCUCCCAGCCGUGGUUGACAUCCUCCUCGUCGUGGAUCUGUUGCAGCUCCUCACGAACUUGUAUGCUUUGCAUUGACAAGCAUUGUUUUACCUUGCGAAGGAAAAAGAAUUAAGGCGGGCAAGGUGAUAUUAUUCUGUAACCUUCAAGGCACCAAAAUGUAUGAUGCACUCUUUAAAAAGAUUGACCUUCCUCAAGCAGAAGUGGAUGUCCUCCCUUGGGCAGCAAAGACCACCUCCAUAUCUCUUCCACCAGCAACAGCAGCACUGCAGCAGAGGCUUUAUGAGGGUUUUCACAAAGAAGCACCUGCUGAUCUACUAGCCCAUCUAGGAAGUUUGGAUUCCUGUUCUAAUCAGGUUAGAACAUAUAUGCUAUGCAGCUUGCAGAAAUAGAAAUUAUGGUAGCUGAACAUAAGAGGUACCUUCUCUAUAAUACUGAUCAUGCCAAUGUUAUCUAGGUGCAGAAAAGUUACGGUUCAGUUAAUCUCUUUGAUUGUUAUCUUACCUCUUGUGUAUUGUUUCCUAUUUAAUUCUCAACAACUAAUAACCUGUUUGAUUGCUGAA